rnacentral:rRNA from 1 species
AACGCGAAGAACCUUACCUACCCUUGACAUGUCCGGAACCCUGCUGAGAGGUGGGGGUGCCCGAAAGGGAAUCGGAACACAGGUGCUGCAUGGCCGUCGUCAGCUCGUGUCGUGAGAUGUUGGGUUAAGUCCCGCGACGAGCGCAACCCUUGUCCCUAGUUGCUACGCAAGGGCACUCUAGGGAGACUGCCGGUGACAAACCGGAGGAAGGUGGGGAUGACGUCAAGUCCUCAUGGCCCUUAUGGGUAGGGCUUCACACGUCAUACAAUGGACGGUACAGAGGGUUGCCAACCCGCGAGGGGGAGCCAAUCCCAGAAAGCCGUUCGUAGUCCGGAUCGCAGUCUGCAACUCGACUGCGUGAAGUCGGAAUCGCUAGUAAUCGCGGAUCAGCUUGCCGCGGUGAAUACGUUCCCGGGUCUUGUACACACGC